UUUGUGUUUUGCGGAUUUUUUGCGCACCAAUCUUCGCACGACGACGAACAUCUUUUUGGGAAUCGGGGAUUUUUGUUUUCUUGUUCUUCCGCUGCGCAUAUGAUGUCGCCCCCCAACGAUUUCCCAACAGUGGUAUCAGAGCCAGGUUGUUCGUGCGAAUGAUUGGUUUUGAACUGCGUGUAUUGUGUUUAGGAAGAAUUUUGACAUCAAAAU
rnacentral:lncRNA from 1 species